CACGUAGGGGGCAAGCGUUGUCCGGAAUCAUUGGGCGUAAAGAGCGUGUAGGCGGUUCGGUAAGUCGGCUGUGAAAGUCCAGGGCUCAACCCUGGGAUGCCGGUCGAUACUGCCGGACUAGAGUUCGGAAGAGGCGAGUGGAAUUCCCGGUGUAGCGGUGAAAUGCGCAGAUAUCGGGAGGAACACCUAUGGCGAAGGCAGCUCGCUGGGACGUUACUGACGCUGAGACGCGAAAGCGUGGGGAGCAAACAGG
rnacentral:rRNA from 1 species